GAUGAACGCUGGCGGCGUGCCUAAUACAUGCAAGUCGAGCGAACAGACGAGGAGCUUGCUCCUCUGACGUUGGCGGCGGACGGGUGAGUAACACGUGGAUAACCUACCUAUAAGACUGGGAUAACUUCGGGAAACCGGAGCUAAUACCGGAUAAUAUAUUGAACCGCAUGGUUCAAUAGUGAAAGACGGUUUUGCUGUCACUUAUAGAUGGAUCCGCGCCGCAUUAGCUAGUUGGUAAGGUAACGGCUUACCAAGGCGACGAUGCGUAGCCGACCUGAGAGGGUGAUCGGCCACACUGGAACUGAGACACGGUCCAGACUCCUACGGGAGGCAGCAGUAGGGAAUCUUCCGCAAUGGGCGAAAGCCUGACGGAGCAACGCCGCGUGAGUGAUGAAGGUCUUCGGAUCGUAAAACUCUGUAAUUAGGGAAGAACAAAUGUGUAAGUAACUAUGCACGUCUUGACGGUACCUAAUCAGAAAGCCACGGCUAACUACGUG
rnacentral:rRNA from 1 species